GAAGCUGGCGAAGGCUGAUGACGUAAUUAAGGAUCAAAUCUUUACAUUACUCGGAUACAAUUCCCGGUUACCUUGUUCCAUCCUAUUCCUUUGGCAGUGAUGUUCUGCCCUGCAUCUGGCCCAAAGUCAAGGAACCAGCUAACCAUGAACUGAAGCUAUGGACCAAAAGAAACCCUUCUUUACCUUACUAUUUCUGGUAUUUGCCACAGCAACAGGAUGUCUGGCCAACAUAGGGUCCUUCGGCCACUCAGAGAAGGAGGGUGUAAAGUUCCCUGGGCUUGAAGCUAGAGACCCCAAGGCUGUAGAAAUGAGCCUCCUUCCAGAUCUGGUUAAUGUGGAUGGACCUCGACCUUGGCACAGUCCUUGUGGGAGAACCCCGGGAUAUCGGAGUAAAGUUCAGCAGUGCUCUGGUGUAAGCUGCUCUCUGUUCCUUUCAUUAUCACUACUUGACAGCUGCACAGCUUGGAGUCCUAACUCUUUGUGGGGUGGGGAACAGUGGUUGUCUUCCUCUUCGAUGUCAUCUCUUCCCACAGGAUGGCUAUCUCCUCUGCUGCUUUUUAACUGUGUAGAAAUGAAGGCUGGGAAGGCAAACAUAAUGAUAAACACCAGUCUUUCUUACUUGCCUAAAACAGCAUGGUGAACUGAAUUGUGAACUUAAAAAUGGUUACAAUUGCAAAUAUUAUGUUCGUUAAAAAAAAAUAAGGUGGAAUGUAACCACCAUACAUCAUAUGUGUGUAUGAAAUUAAAGACAGCAACGUUCUAAAAUAGAAAGUGGUGAUGGUGUCAUGGGCCUAUGAGGAUGCUGGACAAAAGUCUAUCAAAUUGUGCAAACAGGCAAAUUGUAUACUAUGGGAAUUAUUUGUCAAUAAAGAUUAUAUAAAAUGUAAAAAAAACAAAAACAAAAAACAGCAUGGUGAGUCACCUGUGAUGAAAGCCUGUAUUCCCUUAAAUUUGUGGGACUUUAAAGGUCUGUGAAUGCAAUGGUUUGAAAUUUUGCUGAGUCAUAAUGUUGAAUCAUGUUGGACUAUGACCCUCAGGCUCCACAUCCCAACUCAUCAUGUCACAUUAUUAGACCAAAGAGGGAUCAUUACAUACUGUGGCUGUUUGAUUUCCCCUAAUGUAGUAAUUAAAUUAUGUAAAGGUGCUCAAGAUCUCAGCACAGGGCUGCUAUGCCUCAUACCUACUGCUGUGGUUUUCAUCUGGCCAGAAAACAAGAUCACAAAACUUUACAGCAAUUUAACAUUCAAUCUUGUAAUAGUAAUCAAUCAAAUUGAAGAGAUAAGUGGUUUCUCCAAGAAUCUGGUACAAAAACAAUUGCUGACAACACAGCAAUUUUGUUGACAUGAAUCUGAAAAAUCCAGAGUCCUAGAGGCUGAAUUUCUAGGAUGUUCCUUGGAGAGGAGCCUUGAAAGAAAUGGCACCAGCCUUAUGAGCCUGUGCAGACAGCCAAGCACUUCAGUGGCAGUAUAUCACACAGCCAGAAAAGGUCACAACACCACUUCCAAGCCAGUUACUCCCUAGGCAAAGGGUAGCUAAUAGAGGUCAAAAACCCAGGUUAACCACACCCAGCUUUGAAUUCCAACCCUGACUAACCAAUCAGCCAUGUGUGCCUGAACAAAUUUAGUUUUUCUAAGAGCCUAACAGUUUACUCUUAAAAAAGUUAUAUGACCUAGAGAAUGAGUUCCUCUCGGCCCUCUGUACUCUAGACUCAGGGCUCAUGGGCAGGAUCCUUUGCUGCAUAAUUUGACAGGACUACUUUCUAGGCCCAUACCCUACUAUGCCCAUCCUCUUCCAGAGCCUGGACUUUGCAGAGGAAAAAGUAAAUUGUUGUCAUUGCUUGUAAAAGGUCUUUUUGCUUUUAAAGCAGGACCUAUGUGUCUCGGGUUUGUCUGGAGCUUGUAAUCUUCGUGCUUCUCCUGUGAUGGCCUGCACCACUACUCCUGGCCUUUUAUUUAUUUGAGAUUUAUUUGUUUGAGAUGGGCUCAGGAAAUUUGUCCCAGCUUCCUGAGUGCUGAAAGACAGGUGUUCCCCUUCAUUUUGAAGGUCUUCCAAGUACAACUGCUUAUGGUUCCAAAGGCUGGAUUUGAACCCAUACAUCAAAAAGCUAAGAAUUUUGAGACUUCAACUUUUACUAGUGUCCCCCCCCCCCCUCCCAGGGCUGGGUCUUAAAUCCAGGCCAGGCAGAGAUAUGCUAAGUAAGCCCUCUAACCCCUAAGCUAUAUCCUCCAUCCCUACAUUUCUGAGGGAGCAGACCCAGAAUCAGAAAUACUAGUUAUGGUUUCUCUAUGUUAAGACAGUGACAAAUGUCAGAUUGCAAGGUGUUAAGGCUAUUCUUCUGCUCAUGAGUCUGGACUGAUGUUGAAGAACUGAAAUCAAGGAGCUUGAUACAUGGCUCAGCUGUUACGAGCACUUACUGCUCUUGUAAGAAGCCCUCAGUUUGGUUCCCAGACCCUACAUGGUCGUUCACAACCUUUCCACACAUUCUUCUGGUCUUUGUGGCCAACAGGCAUGCACAUAGCACACAUACAUACACGUAGGCAAAACACUCAUACACAUACAAUAAAAUUCCCAAACAGAACAAAUCACCAUCGGCCAGGUCUCCCUCUGUUCACCACUAUUUCCUGCCUAGUAGGGGUAGAAGCAAAUCAGACAAUAUAGCUUUUUAAAAAUUAUUUAAUUUAGUAGGUUUUUUUUUUUGAAAAAAAGCAAUAAGGCAAAAAAACUGAAAAUAUAUAUAGUCUUGUUUUACUUUCAUGUGACUUUAUUCCAUCUUCAGGACUUCUAGGCUUCUUCCGUUAGCAGGGAUCUGGGAAUCAAGCUAGAAAUGUAGUGCAGAUAUAUGGGGAAAGGGGCUAAAGCAACGAGGUUCCUUGGGAAAUUUCCAUUCUAUCCCAGUCUCCAGAGAUGGUGCCCAUUUUAUGGGUCUCCCCGGAGUAACCCUUGUGCUGGGGAAAGCCUUCUUAGGAGGAAAUUCCCCAGUGAUCAAUCUUUGAUGUGUUUGAUCUGGGGAGGGAGAGCCGGUGGGGGGUGGGAGGAUGACUAAAAGUACUAAUUUACCCAGUAAGAUCCAAUUUCCCUGGAGGGAUAGCUUCCUCUGGAAUGGUAUUUUUCCCCAAGGACCCACACUGGCUGAGGCUCAAUAGUUAAGGAACAAAAACAAAAACACUAACAAAAAGUACAUAAGGAAGGCACCUCAAUUUAUGACCCUCAACCAAGGGUGGGUUGCACAAGGGUUAUGUUUCUGAACAGGAAACUAAAAUUAAUACAGAGAAAAAUGAAAGAAGGAAGCCAGGGCCCAGCAGGAGCAGUUCCCACAGAGCAUGAGGGCUCUUAGCUCACAUCCUUGGAAGCAAACUCUUUUGGGAUUUAGCCUGAGCUGGCUGGAACAGAAGGAAGCUAGAAACCACCCUCCUGACUUUCUACCCGUACUCCUGAGGAAGGAAACUGAGGCGGGGGAAAAAGACUAGGACUUCCUUUCCAAGAGCCAGGUGAUCAGGAAAGCAGAGCUGAGGCAGCAGUGAGUCACUGUGACAAACACUCCUCCUUGUCCCUGUCCAGUAACUGCCACACAUGACCCUGCUUAGGGUUGCAAUGCCCCUCAAAGAUGGAAAGCAGAGGAGCAUCAACCCAUAUUAGCAUGCGUCCGAGAGUCCCAGGGAGACAGGUGAUAUAAAAAAAAAACCAAGAUUCUUCAUGGGAAAGAGGAAAACAAAAAAAAUUAGAUUUUUCUCUACAUAUAUAUAUAUAUAUAUAUAUAAUAUACAGAUGAUUUAACACAUUAUUCCAGAGGUGGCUCCAUUCCAUGGGACUUUCAAGAUGAUGAAAACGUUUGUUGCAGAGAAACUUCUCUCAGAUUCUGAAGUGUACAGAAUGGGUCAGGCAAUGUUUUGCUCCAGACUGUGGCACAUACCCAAAUUGGUACUGUGCCAGCAAAGAAGCCAGAAAGGCAAUGAAGACGGGAUGAGGAGGGACUGGGAAGGUACAAGUGGCUAGUAGUCUUCUUCCACCCUGCCUGUGUUCUCAGAGGUUCUCCACCUGAGGAAGACCAUAAAACCCCUUUAUAAAGAUAGUGUGGCCCUCUUAUCAACUGCCAAAGAGGCC